rnacentral:rRNA from 1 species
CAAGUCGAGGGGCAGCAUGGUGUAGCAAUACACUGAUGGCGACCGGCAAACGGGUGCGGAACACGUACAGAACCUUCCUUCGAGCGGGGAAUAGCCCAGAGAAAUUUGGAUUAAUACCCCAUAGCAUUCCGAAGAGGCAUCUCUUUGGAAUUAAAGAUUUAUCACUUGAAGAUGGCUGUGCGGCUGAUUAGGUAGUUGGCGGGGUAACGGCCCACCAAGCCUACGAUCAGUAACUGGUGUGAGAGCACGACCAGUCACACGGGCACUGAGACACGGGCCCGACUCCUACGGGAGGCAGCAGUAAGGAAUAUUGGUCAAUGGACGCAAGUCUGAACCAGCCAUGCCGCGUGAAGGAUGAAGGUCCUCUGGAUUGUAAACUUCUUUUAUAUGGGACGAAAAAGGGCCUUUCUAGGUCAACUGACGGUACCAUAGGAAUAAGCACCGGCUAACUCCGUGCCAGCAGCCGCGGUAAUACGGAGGGUGCAAGCGUUAUCCGGAUUCACUGGGUUUAAAGGGUGCGUAGGUGGGCAGGUAAGUCAGUGGUGAAAUCCCCGAGCUCAACUUGGGAACUGCCAUUGAUACUAUCUGUCUUGAAUACCGUGGAGGUUAGCGGAAUAUGUCAUGUAGCGGUGAAAUGCUUAGAUAUGACAUAGAACACCGAUUGCGAAGGCAGCUGGCUACACGAAUAUUGACACUGAGGCACGAAAGCGUGGGGAUCAAACAGGAUUAGAUACCCUGGUAGUCCACGCCCUAAACGAUGGAUACUCGACAUAUGCGAUACACUGUAUGUGUCUGAGCGAAAGCAUUAAGUAUCCCACCUGGGAAGUACGACCGCAAGGUUGAAACUCAAAGGAAUUGGCGG